AGACAAUACAAGAGUGCAUAAAUUUUUCCCUUCCCAAUCAAUUAAAUUUUCUGUCCUUCACUUUCCCUCUCAUCUCAUACAAACAAGUCAAAGAAAACUAACUCUUCUCAAAUUUCUUUAGCUCCAUUCAAGAACCAUACACAUCACUAAUUCACAAUGCCCCUUGACCCCACCGCCACCACAACCACCGUCACCACCACCACAACCACCACCACCGCCACAUCACCACUCCCUCAACCACCUUUAUAUCAUCACUACCCAUUCUUUCAACCACCACCACACCAACAAGAACUACCCUUUCCCAUUCAUAUUCCAUACCCCCAUUUACCUAAACAACCCCAUGACCCAUCCAACCCUUUUCUUUACCCAUUCCUCUCCCCCGCCCGCAGCGCCGGCGGCAGCCCACUCAAAUCCGCCUAUCCUCAGUCCCCCUCCCUCCUCUACCCCCACGGCGUUCGCGCCGUAGCCUCCCCUCGAUUGGACUAUGCCCACACUGCCUUGAAUUUGAAUAGGCCGCCUGCGCAAUUGCAGAACCCUCUUUUGGCCUAUUCUCCGGUCACCGCCUCGGUUAAGCGUGGCGCUGCUGUAAAGCAGUCAAAGGCUUCCCCUCGAUCGGGUGUUUCGGAUAGCAAAAAUGGCUAUAAAGAUACAAGUGCAAGGGAAAGCAGAGAUGACUCUUUAACUGUUGUCAGAGGUAGAAGAGUUAAUAUUACAGAGGAUGCUUCUUUGUAUGCACUUUGUAGAUCAUGGUUGAGAAAUGGUGUAAAUGAAGACAUCCAGGUUUGAUUUAUAUCUUGACUGCUGAAUUUUUGGAAUUCGGCAUCUGCUCCUCAGUUAAAAAAAUGUGAU
rnacentral:lncRNA from 1 species